rnacentral:rRNA from 1 species
AGAGUUUGAUCAUGGCUCAGAUUGAACGCUGGCGGCAGGCCUAACACAUGCAAGUCGAACGGUAACAGGAAGAAGCCUGCUUCUUUGCUGACGAGUGGCGGACGGGUGAGUAAUGUCUGGGAAACUGCCUGAUGGAGGGGGAUAACUACUGGAAACGGUAGCUAAUACCGCAUAACGUCGCAAGACCAAAGAGGGGUACCUUCGGGCCUCUUGCCAUCGGAUGUGCCCAGAUGGGAUUAGCUAGUAGGUGGGGUAACGGCUCACCUAGGCGACGAUCCCUAGCUGGUCUGAGAGGAUGACCAGCCACACUGGAACUGAGACACGGUCCAGACUCCUACGGGAGGCAGCAGUGGGGAAUAUUGCACAAUGGGCGCAAGCCUGAUGCAGCCAUGCCGCGUGUAUGAAGAAGGCCUUCGGGUUGUAAAGUACUUUCAGCGGGGAGGAAGGGAGUAAAGUUAAUACCUUUGCUCAUUGACGUUACCCGCAGAAGAAGCACCGGCUAACUCCGUGCCAGCAGCCGCGGUAAUACGGAGGGUGCAAGCGUUAAUCGGAAUUACUGGGAGCAAACAGGAUUAGAUACCCUGGUAGUCCACGCCGUAAACGAUGUCGACUUGGAGGUUGUGCCCUUGAGGCGUGGCUUCCGGAGCUAACGCGUUAAGUCGACCGCCUGGGGAGUACGGCCGCAAGGUUAAAACUCAAAUGAAUUGACGGGGGCCCGCACAAGCGGUGGAGCAUGUGGUUUAAUUCGAUGCAACGCGAAGAACCUUACCUGGUCUUGACAUCCACGGAAGUUUUCAGAGAUGAGAAUGUGCCUUCGGGAACCGUGAGACAGGUGCUGCAUGGCUGUCGUCAGCUCGUGUUGUGAAAUGUUGGGUUAAGUCCCGCAACGAGCGCAACCCUUAUCCUUUGUUGCCAGCGGUCCGGCCGGGAACUCAAAGGAGACUGCCAGUGAUAAACUGGAGGAAGGUGGGGAUGACGUCAAGUCAUCAUGGCCCUUACGACCAGGGCUACACACGUGCUACAAUGGCGCAUACAAAGAGAAGCGACCUCGCGAGAGCAAGCGGACCUCAUAAAGUGCGUCGUAGUCCGGAUUGGAGUCUGCAACUCGACUCCAUGAAGUCGGAAUCGCUAGUAAUCGUGGAUUAGAAUGCCACGGUGGAUACGUUCCCGGGCCUUGUACACACCGCCCGUCACACCAUGGGAGUGGGUUGCAAAAGAAGUAGGUAGCUUAACCUUCGGGAGGGCGCUUACCACUUUGUGAUUCAUGACUGGGGUGAAGUCGUAACAAGGUAACCGUAGGGGAACCUGCGGUUG